GAAAAUCUGCGCAGCCAUUCCAACGAGCGGGACUCUGCCUGGUGUUGGCCGAAGGAUGCCGAAGAAAAAGACUGAUGAUGGACUGGGACGCUCUUACCCCAAAACUGGAUGAAGAUGGAAUCCAUUUCAGUCUGAAAUGUGUUUCAUGGCUGCAACGGGCAUUCCUCUGAUUUCUUGUUUCCCUGGUUAGAUGGAUGAUCCAUUCCAGCCCAACUCAAGUGUUCUUAUAAAGACUCCUUUGGUCUAAUAUGAGGUUUCUCACUGGCCAGCACUAUGAAGGUUGAUGGCAUGAUCAUUCACUCCACAUCAAAGGAUAUCUACUCAUCAGUGUGCUGUUGUCAGUCAGAGGUUUCCAAAUACGUGUUCUCCAACUCAAAGAAAAGUAGCUGGAUCCAGGCAGAAAGGUGUCUGGGAACUCCUUUACUGUGCAGGGUGUGUCUCCAGAGAAAGCUGCUUCAGCAUUCUUCUCGGUCUUUGUUUUCGGAAUACUUUUCCCUACAGUAUUCUUCAGACUCUAAAAUACUAGAAUAGUUCCCAAGUUCAUCCAGAUCUUUCCCAUGUUUGAAUUCUUGGUCCUUUUCCCAUCCCCUGGCUUAC